rnacentral:rRNA from 1 species
AUCUGNAUCGUCGCAAGACGGACUAAAGCGAAAGCAUUUGCCAAAGGUGUUUUCAUUAAUCAAGAACGAAAGUUAGAGGUUCGAAGGCGAUUAGAUACCGCUGUAGUUCUAACCAUAAAUGAUGCCAGCCNGCGAUCCGCCGAAGUUUCAUAAAUUUAACCCGGUGGGCAGCUCCCGGGAAACCAAAGCUUUCGGGCUCCGGGGGGAGUAUGGUUGCAAAGCUGAAACUUAAAGGAAUUGACGGAAGGGCACCACCAGGAGUGGAGCCUGCGGCUUAAUUCGACUCAACACGGGAAAACUCACCAGGCCCGGACACUGGAAGGAUUGACGGAUUAACAGCUCUUUCUCGAUUCGGUGGGUGGUGGUGCAUGGCCGCUCUUAGUUGGUGGAGCGAUUUGUCAGGUUAAUUCCGGUAACGAACGUAACUCACCGGCGGUAUAUAUAGCCGCACGAGAUUGAGCAAUAGCAGGUCUGUGAUGCCCUUAGAUGUCCUGGGCCGCACGCGCGCUACACUGAAGGGAUCAGCGUGUCCUCCUUGGCCUAACGGCCCGGGUAACCCGAUGAAACCCCUUCGUGAUAGGGAUUGGGGUUUGCAAUUCUCCCCCAUGAACGAGGAAUUCCUAGUAAAAGCGGGUCACCAGCUCGCGUUGAUUGCGUCCCUGCCCUUUGUACACACCGCCCGUCGCUACUACCGAUGGAUGAUUUGGUGAGGUCUUCGGAUUGGCGCGGCGAAGUUCGUUACGGACAUCCGACGCGUCGGANGUUUGACCGAAUUUGAUCAUUUAGAGGAGUAAAGUCGUAC